CCUACGGGCGGCAGCAGUAGGGAAUAUUGCUCAAUGGGGGAAACCCUGAAGCAGCAAAGUCGCGUGGAGGAUGAAGGUUUUAGGAUUGUAAACUCCUUUUGUUAGAGAAGAUUAUGACGGUAUCUAACGAAUAAGCACCGGAUAACUCCGUGCCAGCAGCCGCGGUAAUACGGGGGGUGCAAGCGUUACUCAGAAUCACUGGGCGUAAAGAGUGCGUAGGCGGGGUAAUAAGUUAGAUGGGAAAUCGUGUAUCUUAACUACAGAACUGCAGUUGAAACUGUUACUCUGGAGUGUGGGAGAAGUAGGUGGAAUGCUUGGUGUAGGGGUAAAAUCCGUAGAGAUCAAGAGGAAUUCUCAUUGCGAAGGCGACCUGCUGGAACAUUACUGACGCUGAUGCACGAAAGCGUGGGGAGCGAACAGGAUUAGAUACCCCAGUAGUC
rnacentral:rRNA from 1 species